rnacentral:tRNA from 1 species
CUGGGGUUGCAGCUCAGUGGUAAAGCACUUGCCUCGCAUGUGUGAGACACUGGGUUCGAUUCUCAGUACCACAUA